rnacentral:rRNA from 1 species
GACGAACGCUGGCGGCGUGCUUAACACAUGCAAGUCGAACGGAAAGGCCCGGCUUUUGUGGGUUGCUCGAGUGGCGAACGGGUGAGUAACACGUGAGUAACCUGCCCUUGACUUUGGGAUAACUUCAGGAAACUGGGGCUAAUACCCGAGAUGAGCUCCUGCUGCAUGGUGGGGGUUGGAAAGUUUCGGCGGUGGUGGAUGGACUGGCGGCUUAUCAGCUUGUUGGGGGGGUAGUUGCUUACCAAGGCUUUGACGGGUAGCCGGCCUGGGAGGGUGACCGGGGACCAUGCUACUGAGGUAGGGACCAGACUCGUACGGGACGCAGCAGUCGGGAAUCUUGCGCAAUGGGCGCACGCGUGAUGCAGCGACGUCGCGUGCGGGAUGCCCGGUUUCGGGUUAUGAACAGCUUUCGCAUGUGACGAAGAGUGAGUGACGGUACUGGGUCAAGAAGCACCGGCUAACUACGUG